GAGGCCUAACACAUGCAAGCCGAGCGGUAGAGAUUCUUCGGAAUCUUGAGAGCGGCGUACGGGUGCGGAACACGUGUGCAACCUACCUUUAUCAGGGGGAUAGCCUUUCGAAAGGAAGAUUAAUACCCCAUAAUAUAAUGACUGGCAUCAGUUAUUAUUGAAAACUCCGGUGGAUAGAGAUGGGCACGCGCAAGAUUAGAUAGUUGGUGAGGUAACGGCUCACCAAGUCUGUGAUCUUUAGGGGGCCUGAGAGGGUGAUCCCCCACACUGGUACUGAGACACGGACCAGACUCCUACGGGAGGCAGCAGUGAGGAAUAUUGGACAAUGGGUGAGAGCCUGAUCCAGCCAUCCCGCGUGAAGGACGACGGCCCUAUGGGUUGUAAACUUCUUUUGUAUAGGGAUAAACCUUUCCACGUGUGGAAAGCUGAAGGUACUAUACGAAUAAGCACCGGCUAACUCCGUGCCAGCAGCCGCGGUAAUACGGNAGGGUGCAAGCGUUAUCCGGAUUUAUUGGGUUUAAAGGGUCCGUAGGCGGACUCGUAAGUCAGUGGUGAAAUCUCAUAGCUUAACUAUGAAACUGCCAUUGAUACUGCGGGUCUUGAGUAAAGUAGAAGUGGCUGGAAUAAGUAGUGUAGCGGUGAAAUGCAUAGAUAUUACUUAGAACACCAAUUGCGAAGGCAGGUCACUAUGUUUUAACUGACGCUGAUGGACGAAAGCGUGGGGAGCGAACAGGAUUAGAUACCCUGGUAGUCCACGCCGUAAACGAUGCUAACUCGUUUUU
rnacentral:rRNA from 1 species